rnacentral:rRNA from 1 species
GAUGAACGCUGGCGGCGUGCCUAAUACAUGCAAGUCGAGCGAAGCGGGGACGGGUGAGUAACACGUGGAUAACCUCCUAUAAGACUGGGAUAACUUCGGGAAACCGGAGCUAAACCGGAUCCUUAUAGAUGGAUCCGCGCUGCAUUAGCUAGUUGGUAAGGUAACGGCUUACCAAGUCAACGAUGGAUAGCCGACCAGAGAGGUUGAUCGGCCACACGGGAACUGAGCAACGGUCCAGACUCCUACGGGUGGCAGCAGUAGGGAAUCUUCCGCCAUGGGGGAAAGCCUGACGGAGCAACGCCGCGUGAGUGAUGAAGGUAUUCGGAUCGGAAAACUCUGUUAGUAGAGAAGCGGUACCUAAUCAGAAAGCCACGGCUAACUACGUGCGAGCCGCCGCGGUAAUAC